UGUAUCUGAGGUCUGACGAGGAUGAGAACCUCCGGGGGCAAGAGGUUCGACCCGAGCGAAGCGAGAGAACGUUGCGCCAGCAACGGCCCGCAGGGCGAGCCACGCAGUGGCGAGUCAUCCUCUAUCACCGGCAG
rnacentral:sRNA from 6 species